AAAAACAUGUCUUUAUGGUGGUUUAUAAAGUCUGGCCUGCCCACUGGCAUAGAACUAAAGGGCCGCGGUAUUUUAACCGUGCGAAGGUAGCAUAGUCAUUAGUCUUUUAAUUGGAGGCUUGUAUGAAGGGUUGGACAAGGGGCAAACUGUCUUAAAAGUAGAGUUUGAAAUUAACUUUUAAGUGAAAAGGCUUAAAUAUUUUAAAGGGACGAUAAGACCCUAUAAAGCUUGAUAAUUUUACAUGUAGACAAACAAUUUAUUUGUAUAAUGUUAUUUAAAUGUUGAAUUAUUUCGUUGGGGCGACGAUGACAUAAUUUGUAACUGUUAAAAGAUUUAAUUCAAAAAUAUUUGUAUUUGGUGAUCCAUAGGUUGUGAUUAGAAGUUUAAGUUACUUUAGGGAUAACAGCGUAAUUUAUUUUGAGAGUUCAUAUCGACAAAAAAGUUUGCGACCUCGAUGUUGAAUUAAAAAUUCGUUACGGCGUAGGAGUUGUAAUAGUAGGUCUGUUCGACCUUUAAAUUUUUACAUGAUUUGAGUUCAAACCGGCGUGAGCCAGG
rnacentral:rRNA from 1 species